UGCCAGCAGCCGCGGUAAUACGGAGGGUGCAAGCGUUAAUCGGAAUUACUGGGCGUAAAGCGAGUGUAGGCGGCUGCGUAAGUCGGAUGUGAAAGCCCCGGGCUCAACCUGGGAAUGCCAUUCGAAACUGCGCGGCUAGAGUCUGAUAGAGGGAAGUGGAAUUCCAGGUGUAGCGGUGAAAUGCGUAGAGAUCUGGAGGAACAUCAGUGGCGAAGGCGGCUUCCUGGAUCAAGACUGACGCUGAGGCUCGAAAGCGUGGGGAGCAAACAGGAUUAGAUA
rnacentral:rRNA from 1 species